AUUGAACGCUGGCGGCAGGCCUAACACAUGCAAGUCGAGCGAGCGGCGGACGGGUGAGUAAUGUAUGGGAAUCUGCCUGAUGGCGGGGGAUAACUACUGGAAACGGUAGCUAAUACCGCAUACCAUCAGAUGUGCCCACAUGGGAUUAGCUUGUAGGUGGGGUAACGGCUCACCUAGGCGACGAUCCCUAGCUGGUCUGAGAGGAUGACCAGCCACACUGGGACUGAGACACGGCCCAGACUCCUACGGGAGGCAGCAGUGGGGAAUAUUGCACAAUGGGCGCAAGCCUGAUGCAGCCAUGCCGCGUGUAUGAAGAAGGCCUUCGGGUUGUAAAGUACUUUCAGUGGGGAGGCGUUACCCGCAGAAGAAGCACCGGCUAACUCCGUGCCAGCAGCCGCGGUAAUAC
rnacentral:rRNA from 1 species